rnacentral:rRNA from 1 species
AGGCCUAAUACAUGCAAGUCGGACGGGAUUCAGGGAGUAGCUUGCUACGAACUGAUGAGAGUGGCGCACGGGUGCGUAACGCGUGAGCAACCUACCCAUAUCAGGGGGAUAGCCUCUCGAAAGAGAGAUUAACACCGCAUAACAUUGAAGAACGGCAUCGUUUUUCAAUCAAAUAUUUAUAGGAUAUGGAUGGGCUCGCGUGACAUUAGCUAGUUGGAGAGGUAACGGCUCACCAAGGCUACGAUGUCUAGGGGCUCUGAGAGGAGAAUCCCCCACACUGGUACUGAGACACGGACCAGACUCCUACGGGAGGCAGCAGUAAGGAAUAUUGGUCAAUGGAGGCAACUCUGAACCAGCCAUGCCGCGUGCAGGAUGACUGCCCUAUGGGUUGUAAACUGCUUUUGUCAGGGAAUAAACCUUUCCACGUGUGGAGAGCUGAAUGUACCUGAAGAAUAAGGAUCGGCUAACUCCGUGCCAGCAGCCGCGGUAAUACGGAGGAUCCAAGCGUUAUCCGGAUUUAUUGGGUUUAAAGGGUGCGUAGGCGGUCCUAUAAGUCAGUGGUGAAAGACGGCAGCUUAACUGUCGCAGUGCCUUUGAUACUGUAGGACUUGAAUCUAUUUGAAGUGGGCGGAAUAAGACAAGUAGCGGUGAAAUGCAUAGAUAUGUCUUAGAACUCCGAUUGCGAAGGCAGCUCACUAAGUUAGUAUUGACGCUGAUGCACGAAAGCGUGGGGAUCAAACAGGAUUAGAUACCCUGGUAGUCCACGCCCUAAACGAUGAUAACUCGAUGUUUGCGAUACACAGUAAGCGUCCAAGCGAAAGCGUUAAGUUAUCCACCUGGGGAGUACGGUCGCAAGAUUGAAACUCAAAGGAAUUGACGGGGGCCCGCACAAGCGGAGGAGCAUGUGGUUUAAUUCGAUGAUACGCGAGGAACCUUA